rnacentral:rRNA from 1 species
UCGGGAAUAUUGGGCAACGGGCGAAAGCCUGACCCAGCAACACCGCGUGAAGGAUGAAGUAUUUCGGUAUGUAAACUUCGUAAGAAUAGGAAGAAUAAAUGACGGUACUAUUUGUAAGGUCCGGCUAACUACGUGCCAGCAGCCGCGGUAAUACGGAGACUACGAGCGUUACUCGGAUUUACUGGGCGUAAAGGGUGCGUAGGCGGUCAGAUGUGUUAGGUGUGAAAGCCUGGGGCUUAACUCCAGAAUUGCGCCUAAAACUAUCUGACUCGAGCCUCGGAGAGGCAAGCGGAAUUCCUAGUGUAGCAGUGAAAUGCGUAGAGAUCGGGAGGAAGGCCGGUGGCGAAGGCGGCGCUCUGGAACGUUUCUGACGCUGAGGCUCGAAAGCGUGGGGAGCAAACAGGAUUAGAUACCCUAGUAGUCCCUGAGCGGGCUGGCAAGGCGCAU